rnacentral:rRNA from 1 species
GACGAACGCUGGCGGCGUGCUUAACACAUGCAAGUCGAACGGAAAGGCCUGCUUUCCCUUGUGGAUUGCGGGUACUCGAGUGGCGAACGGGUGAGUAACACGUGAGUGAUCUGCCCCCAACUUGGGUAUAAGCCUGGGAAACUGGGUCUAAUUCCCGAUAGGACUGCAGGGUGGUGCCUGUGGUGGAAAACGAUUUUCUAGUGGUUGGGGAUGAGCUCGCGGCCUAUCAGCUUGUUGUGGGGGUAAUGGCCUACCAAGGCGGCGACGGGUAGCCGGCCUGAGAGGGUGGACGGGCACAUUGGGACUGAGAUACGGCCCAGACUCCUACGGGAGGCAGCAGUGGGGAAUAUUGCACAAUGGGCGGAAGCCUGAUGCAGCGACGCCGCGUGGGGGAUGACGGCCUUCGGGUUGUAAACUCCUUUCGACCGCGAGGAAGCCACCUGGUUGGAAGGGUGGUGACGGUAGUGGUAGAAGAAGCACCGGCUAACUACGUG